GAGAGAUUCCCAUGGGACAUAUAAAGAAUUCAUUUAUGGCGGUUUUUAUGUAGAACAUGUGGGUGCAAAAGGAAGAGACAGCUGGAUUGAGAGUGCUUGUGAACUGUACACAGGUCUCCCUGUUACAAGACGAGUGACACAGACGUCUGUCCCUGCAAAAUCUGAGCAUGUACUGGAAGUAGAGCAGCCAUGUUACUGUGACACUGUCUAAGUGCUGUAUUAUUUCUUCCAAAGGAGGAGAGACACUCAACUCUGCUAGGCGGUAAAAGCAGAGGGGAAGCUUGAUCUAUCAAUGGAGCAGAGGAACUGGAGAUGACUUAACAAAUUGUCUAGAAGGGAGGUGGCUGUAUUGAGUAGCUUUUUGUGGGACCAGAUCCUAAACAAGUUGCAUGAGGAAGCUAAAUCUCCUUGGAUUUCAUUAGAAGAUGCCAGACUCAAGAUUUUUGUCCUCCCUUCAUCUCCCGUU